GCAGGCUGCAACUCGCCUGCAUGAAGUUGGAAUUGCUAGUAAUCGCGAAUCAGAAUGUCGCGGUGAAUACGUUCCCGGGCCUUGUACACACCGCCCGUCACACCAUGAGAGUCGAUAACACCCGAAGCCUGUGAGCUAACCGCGAAGGGGGCAGCAGUCGAAGGUGGGGUUGAUGAUUGGGGUGAAGUCGUAACAAGGUACC
rnacentral:rRNA from 1 species